AAAGUUGAAGAGUUUCGGUUUUUUUUUUUUUUUUUUUGGGGGUUUUUUUUUUUUU
rnacentral:ribozyme from 1 species